rnacentral:rRNA from 1 species
AUUGAACGCUGGCGGCAUGCUUUACACAUGCAAGUCGAACGGCAGCACGGGCUUCGGCCUGGCGGCGAGUGGCGAACGGGUGAGUAAUACAUCGGAACGUGCCCAGUAGUGGGGGAUAGCUCGGCGAAAGCCGGAUUAAUACCGCAUACGACCUGAGGGUGAAAGCGGGGGAUCUUCGGGCCUCGCGCUAUUGGAGCGGCCGAUGGCAGAUUAGCUAGUUGGUGGGGUAAAGGCCUACCAAGGCGACGAUCUGUAGCUGGUCUGAGAGGACGACCAGCCACACUGGGACUGAGACACGGCCCAGACUCCUACGGGAGGCAGCAGUGGGGAAUUUUGGACAAUGGGCGAAAGCCUGAUCCAGCAAUGCCGCGUGUGUGAUGAAGGCCUUCGGGUUGUAAAGCACUUUUGGCGGGAACGAAAAGGACUGUGCCAAUACCACGGUUCGAUGACGGUACCCGCAGAAUAAGCACCGGCUAACUACGUG